rnacentral:rRNA from 1 species
UGCGUAGGCGGAAUAUUACGUCAGUGGUGAAAUCCUGCGGCUCAACCGUAGAACUGCCAUUGAUACUGAUAUUCUUGAAUGUAGUUGAGGUAGGCGGAAUGUGUAAUGUAGCGGUGAAAUGCUUAGAUAUUACACAGAACACCGAUUGCGAAGGCAGCUUACUAAACUAUGAUUGACGCUGAGGCACGAAAGCGUGGGGAGCGAACAGGAUUAGAUACCCUGGUAGUCC